AUGGGGGCGUCGAGCUGGGAGAAGGGUGUAAAAGAAACAAUGGGCGCUAAGCCCAGCCAAGGUAAGUCCAAAAAAUGUUUUUUUUAUACCAGCUUCUUCAGCGAUGAGAAGCACGAAACCAAAGAUGUAGAAGAUAUUCCAGGUUUGAGUAGAAGUAGGGAAAAGUGGACAAUAAGAGUUUGGACUAUUUUGGACAAUAGCAUAACAAUAGCAAGACUGAUGCAUGUUCUUCCAAGGAUGUGGCACGAUUUGGACAGGUUGCAAUUGAACAUUUGGCUUGUCAUGGAUUAG